rnacentral:rRNA from 1 species
ACGGGAGGCAGCAGUGAGGAAUAUUGGUCAAUGGUCGAGAGACUGAACCAGCCAAGUCGCGUGAAGGAUGCAGGUAUUAUGUAUUGUAAACUUCUUUUAUGCGGGGAUAAAGUGUGUCUUGCGAGGCAUAUUGCAGGUACCGCAAGAAAAAGCAUCGGCUAACUCCGUGCCAGCAGCCGCGGUAAUACGGGGGAUGCGAGCGUUAUUCGGAAUUAUUGGGUUUAAAGGGUGCGUAGGCGGUGGAGCAAGUCAGCGGUGAAAUCUUGUGGCUCAACCAUAAGCUUGCCGUUGAAACUGUUUUACUUGAGUGCGAGAGAGGUAGGCGGAAUUUGUUGUGUAGCGGUGAAAUGCAUAGAUAUGACAAAGAACUCCAAUUGCGAAGGCAGCUUACUUGGGUGCAACUGACGCUGAGGCACGAAGGUGUGGGUAUCGAACAGGAUUAGAUACCCUGGUA